rnacentral:rRNA from 1 species
UUUUUGAUGUAAAUUUUAUUUCCUGGGUAGUAUUAGUUAUGAUCUUGAAACUUAAAGAAUUUGGCGGUGUCCUAUUCCUUUCAGAGGAAUCUGCCCUUUUAUCGAUAGCCCGCGUUGGACCUUGCUCAUAUUUUGUUUGUAUACCGCCGUUAUAGUGAAGAUCUUUAUAGUGUGGAAAUUUUCUAGCUUCAUGAAUUUGAUUUAUUUCAGGUCAAGGUGCAGCUUGUUUGUGAGUUUGAGGUGGAUUACACUGUUAUUUGAUUAUUGGAUUAUUAGUUGAUACUAUUAGUAGGAAAUUGGAUUUGAUUGUAAUCUGUUGAAGAUUGUUUGGAUGAUGAUGGUUCUAGGACAUGC